rnacentral:rRNA from 1 species
UGGGGAAUAUUGCACAAUGGGCGAAAGCCUGAUGCAGCGACGCCGCGUGAGGGAUGACGGCCUUCGGGUUGUAAACCUCUUUCAGCAGGGACGAAGCGCAAGUGACGGUACCUGCAGAAGAAGCACCGGCUAACUCCGUGCCAGCAGCCGCGGUAAUACGUAGGGUGCAAGCGUUGUCCGGAAUUACUGGGCGUAAAGAGUUCGUAGGCGGUUUGUCGCGUCGUUUGUGAAAACCAGCAGCUCAACUGCUGGCUUGCAGGCGAUACGGGCAGACUUGAGUACUGCAGGGGAGACUGGAAUUCCUGGUGUAGCGGUGAAAUGCGCAGAUAUCAGGAGGAACACCGGUGGCGAAGGCGGGUCUCUGGGGAGUAACUGACGCUGAGGAACGAAAGCGUGGGUAGCGAACAGG